UGCAUCAUUCUGUAAUGAGGACUGACUCGGUUGUGGGUUUGAAUCCAUGUGCAGAGUUUUAUUAAGCACCACAGCACAAACAGAGGCAAACGGAGAGCAGAUAUCGUGGUCAAUAAGCAGGCAAAGGGUCGCAAACAAUAGUGGCAGUCCAGAUAGCAAACACAUCCAAAUCAGUAAUCCAAAAGACGAGGUCAAAGGCAGGUAAAAGACAUACACAAGCAAACAAUCCGUGACUAUGAAAUACGCUUGGUAGAGACAGGGUAAACUGGCAAUACUUCGCAACAUAAUGCACAAACAACAUGGCUUAAAACAGGUGCAGGCAGGAAGUGAUGAGAGAAGAAGCGGCAGUGUUCAGUAUUCGGGAGACAGCUCCCUCUGGCGGUUGGAUGAAUGAAUGUCGGAUGCAGAUGUUACACAUUCAGAGCUGAAAACACUCCAGCCACAUAAAUGGCUGGUGGGGGAGACAAUCCGAUGCUAUUUUCAAGUGUUGGUGAACAACAGCGAACAGGGAAAUAAAAUUUACAUACUUGAUCACUACACAGCGGGAAUUAUAAUUCAUGGUGAAAGAGAUCAAGUCCGGAGAAAAAGCCCCUCAAAGGUGAACUUUGAUGACUAUGAUGGACUGAUUAGCUUCCUGAAUGUCAAUGGGAGCCAUUGGGUAUUUCCGUAUGUCCAUGCAGCAUCCAGCCAUGUGUUUGUGGUAGACCUUGCGGGACAUGAUGAAAAGGCCAAAUCCAUGCAUGCCGCCUGCAGAUUUAGGUAA
rnacentral:lncRNA from 1 species